CUGGAGCUUGCAGGAGAAAUUUACAGAAGAGAACAACAGCCAGGAGAAGAGAGCUUUGCUGUGGAGAGGCCGGGCUUGCAGCAUCCUCACAGGAGAUUCUGAAACUGAGAAUUCUGAGAAGACUCUGAGGCUGCUCCCAUUGUGAAAACUUCCAGAGUCCAUCCCUGGAUGUCCGUGUUUCCUGGCUGCCGCUGUUCUCCAAAGCAGCUCUGAAACAAAAACCCCGAGGAGCCUCUGCCACAGCCAUUAUCCUUGGAUCACAGCACUGCUGGAAAAUCUACAAAUACAGAAUAAGCAGGAGGCGCCCGGGCCGGGCAUGAGUGUCCCAGAGGCCCAUGCCCUUCUCCAACAGCUCUGAGCUCAGCC
rnacentral:lncRNA from 1 species